rnacentral:tRNA from 1 species
AUUUAAAUAGCUUAUAUUUAGAGCAUAACACUGAAGAUGUUAAGGAAAUUAUUAUAAUUUUUAAAUA